rnacentral:misc_RNA from 1 species
UCCGGUUUAUCUCCGGCAGUCUAUCUAGAUAUGCAACUAAGAGCAGGGGUUGCGCUCGUUGCGGCACUUAAGCCAACACCUCACGGCACGAGCUGACGACAACCAUGCACCACCUGUGAACCGGCCCCAAAGGGGAAACCACAUUUCUGCGGCGGUCCGGUCCAUGUCAAGCCUUGGUAAGGUUCUUCGCGUUGCAUCGAAUUAAUCCGCAUGCUCCGCCGCUUGUGCGGGCCCCCGUCAAUUCCUUUGAGUUUUAGCCUUGCGGCCGUACUCCCCAGGCGGGGCACUUAAUGCGUUAGCUACGGCGCGGAAAACGUGGAAUGUCCCCCACACCUAGUGCCCAACGUUUACGGCAUGGACUAC